rnacentral:rRNA from 1 species
UACGGGGGGAGCAAGCGUUGUUCGGAUUUACUGGGCGUAAAGGGCGCGUAGGCGGUCGUGACAAGUCACUUGUGAAAUCUCCGGGCUUAACUCGGAACGGUCAAGUGAUACUGUCGGACUAGAGUACAGAAGGGGCAACUGGAAUUCUCGGUGUAGCGGUGAAAUGCGUAGAUAUCGAGAGGAACACCUGCGGCGAAGGCGG